UUAAGCGACUAAGCGUACACGGUGGAUGCCCUGGCAGUCAGAGGCGAUGAAGGACGUGCUAAUCUGCGAAAAGCGUCGGUAAGGUGAUAUGAACCGUUACAGCCGGCGAUGUCCGAAUGGGGAAACCCAGUGCAAUUCGUUGCACUAUCGUUAACUGAAUACAUAGGUUAACGAGGCGAACCGGGGGAACUGAAACAUCUAAGUACCCCGAGGAAAAGAAAUCAACCGAGAUUCCCCCAGUAGCGGCGAGCGAACGGGGAGCAGCCCAGAGUCUGAAUCAGCUUGUGUGUUAGUGGAACGGUCUGGAAAGUCCGACGGUACAGGGUGAUAGUCCCGUACACCAAAAUGCACAGGCUGUGAACUCGAAGAGUAGGGCGGGACACGUGGUAUCCUGUCUGAAUAUGGGGGGACCAUCCUCCAAGGCUAAAUACUCCUGACUGACCGAUAGUGAACCAGUACCGUGAGGGAAAGGCGAAAAGAACCCCGGCGAGGGGAGUGAAAAAGAACCUGAAACCGUGUACGUACAAGCAGUGGGAGCACCUUCGGGUGUGACUGCGUACCUUUUGUAUAAUGGGUCAGCGACUUAUAUUCUGUAGCAAGGUUAACCGUAUAGGGGAGCCGCAGGGAAACCGAGUCUUAACUGGGCGUUAAGUUGCAGGGUAUAGACCCGAAACCCGGUGAUCUAGCCAUGGGCAGGUUGAAGGUUGGGUAACACUAACUGGAGGACCGAACCGACUAAUGUUGAAAAAUUAGCGGAUGACUUGUGGCUGGGGGUGAAAGGCCAAUCAAACCGGGAGAUAGCUGGUUCUCCCCGAAAGCUAUUUAGGUAGCGCCUCGUGAAUUCAUCUUCGGGGGUAGAGCACUGUUUCGGCUAGGGGGUCAUCCCGACUUACCAACCCGAUGCAAACUACGAAUACCGAAGAAUGUUAUCACGGGAGACACACGGCGGGUGCUAACGUCCGUCGUGAAGAGGGAAACAACCCAGACCGCCAGCUAAGGUCCCAAAGUCACAGUUAAGUGGGAAACGAUGUGGGAAGGCACAGACAGCCAGGAUGUUGGCUUAGAAGCAGCCAUCAUUUAAAGAAAGCGUAAUAGCUCACUGGUCGAGUCGGCCUGCGCGGAAGAUGUAACGGGGCUAAACUGUGCACCGAAGCUGCGGCAGCGACACUUAGGUGUUGUUGGGUAGGGGAGCGUUCUGUAAGCCUGCGAAGGUGGCCUGUGAGGGUUGCUGGAGGUAUCAGAAGUGCGAAUGCUGACAUAAGUAACGAUAAUGCGGGUGAAAAGCCCGCACGCCGGAAGACCAAGGGUUCCUGUCCAACGUUAAUCGGGGCAGGGUGAGUCGACCCCUAAGGCGAGGCCGAAAGGCGUAGUCGAUGGGAAACAGGUUAAUAUUCCUGUACUUGGUGUUACUGCGAAGGGGGGACGGAGAAGGCUAUGUUAGCCGGGCGACGGUUGUCCCGGUUUAAGCAUGUAGGCGGAGGUUCCAGGUAAAUCCGGUACCUUAUUAACGCUGAGGUGUGAUGACGAGGCACUACGGUGCUGAAGUAACAAAUGCCCUGCUUCCAGGAAAAGCCUCUAAGCAUCAGGUAACAUUAAAUCGUACCCCAAACCGACACAGGUGGUCAGGUAGAGAAUACCAAGGCGCUUGAGAGAACUCGGGUGAAGGAACUAGGCAAAAUGGUGCCGUAACUUCGGGAGAAGGCACGCUGGUGUGUAGGUGAAGCCCCUGCGGGUGGAGCUGAGACCAGUCGAAGAUACCAGCUGGCUGCAACUGUUUAUUAAAAACACAGCACUGUGCAAACACGAAAGUGGACGUAUACGGUGUGACGCCUGCCCGGUGCCGGAAGGUUAAUUGAUGGGGUUAUCCGUAAGGAGAAGCUCUUGAUCGAAGCCCCGGUAAACGGCGGCCGUAACUAUAACGGUCCUAAGGUAGCGAAAUUCCUUGUCGGGUAAGUUCCGACCUGCACGAAUGGCGUAAUGAUGGCCAGGCUGUCUCCACCCGAGACUCAGUGAAAUUGAACUCGCUGUGAAGAUGCAGUGUACCCGCGGCAAGACGGAAAGACCCCGUGAACCUUUACUAUAGCUUGACACUGAACAUUGAGCCUUGAUGUGUAGGAUAGGUGGGAGGCUUUGAAGCGUGGACGCCAGUCUGCGUGGAGCCAACCUUGAAAUACCACCCUUUAAUGUUUGAUGUUCUAACGUUGGCCCCUGACCGGGGUUGCGGACAGUGUCUGGUGGGUAGUUUGACUGGGGCGGUCUCCUCCCAAAGCGUAACGGAGGAGCACGAAGGUUAGCUAAUCCUGGUCGGACAUCAGGAGGUUAGUGCAAUGGCAUAAGCUAGCUUGACUGCGAGCGUGACGGCGCGAGCAGGUGCGAAAGCAGGUCAUAGUGAUCCGGUGGUUCUGAAUGGAAGGGCCAUCGCUCAACGGAUAAAAGGUACUCCGGGGAUAACAGGCUGAUACCGCCCAAGAGUUCAUAUCGACGGCGGUGUUUGGCACCUCGAUGUCGGCUCAUCACAUCCUGGGGCUGAAGUAGGUCCCAAGGGUAUGGCUGUUCGCCAUUUAAAGUGGUACGCGAGCUGGGUUUAGAACGUCGUGAGACAGUUCGGUCCCUAUCUGCCGUGGGCGCUGGAGAAUUGAGGGGGGCUGCUCCUAGUACGAGAGGACCGGAGUGGACGCAUCACUGGUGUUCGGGUUGUCAUGCCAAUGGCAUUGCCCGGUAGCUAAAUGCGGAAGAGAUAAGUGCUGAAAGCAUCUAAGCACGAAACUUGCCCCGAGAUGAGUUCUCCCUGAGACUUUAAGUCUCCUGAAGGAACGUUAAAGACGAUGACGUUGAUAGGUCGGGUGUGUAAGCGUAGCGAUACGUUGAGCUAACCGAUACUAAUGAACCGUGAGGCUUAACCU
rnacentral:rRNA from 1 species